rnacentral:ncRNA from 2 species
AUUAACGUAGGGAAUGAAGUUCUCCCUUGAUUAAUAUCAAAACUGCGUAAUAGCUGAUGACUUCUACAACUUU